AAAUUGAAGAGUUUGAUCAUGGCUCAGAUUGAACGCUGGCGGCAGGCCUAACACAUGCAAGUCGAACGGUAGCACAGAGAGCUUGCUCUCGGGUGACGAGUGGCGGACGGGUGAGUAAUGUCUGGGAAACUGCCUGAUGGAGGGGGAUAACUACUGGAAACGGUGGCUAAUACCGCAUAACGUCGCAAGACCAAAGAGGGGGACCUUCGGGCCUCUUGCCAUCAGAUGUGCCCAGAUGGGAUUAGCUUGUUGGUGAGGUAACGGCUCACCAAGGCGACGAUCCCUAGCUGGUCUGAGAGGAUGACCAGCCACACUGGAACUGAGACACGGUCCAGACUCCUACGGGAGGCAGCAGUGGGGAAUAUUGCACAAUGGGCGCAAGCCUGAUGCAGCCAUGCCGCGUGUAUGAAGAAGGCCUUCGGGUUGUAAAGUACUUUCAGCGG
rnacentral:rRNA from 1 species